rnacentral:rRNA from 1 species
GUGCCAAGCAGCCGCGGUAAUUCCAGCUCCAAUAGCGUAUAUAAAAGUUGUGCAGUUUAAAAAGCUCGUAGUUGAACCUUGGGUCUGGCUGGCCGGUCCGCCUCACCGCGUGUACUGGUCCGGCCGGACCUUUCCUUCUGAGGAGCCGCAUGCCCUUCACUGGGCGUGUCGGGGAACCAGGACUUUUACUUUGAAAAAAUUAGAGUGUUCAAAGCAGGCCUUUGCUCGAAUACAUUAGCAUGGAAUAAUAGAAUAGGACGUGCGGUUCUAUUUUGUUGGUUUCUAGGACCGCCGUAAUGAUUAAUAGGGAUAGUCGGGGGCAUCCGUAUUCAAUUGUCAGAGGUGAAAUUCUUGGAUUUAUUGAAGACGAACUACUGCGAAAGCAUUUGCCAAGGAUGUUUUCAUUAAUCAGUGAACGAAAGUUAGGGGAUCGAAGACGAUCAGAUACCGUCGUAGUCUUAACCAUAAACUAUGCCGACUCGGGAUCGGUGGGCGUUACUAUUUUGACUCCAUCGGCACCGUACGAGAAAUCAAAGUUUUUGGGUUCUGGGGGGAGUAUGGUCGCAAGGCUGAAACUUAAAGAAAUUGACGGAAGGGCACCACCAGGCGUGGAGCCUGCGGCUUAAUUUGACCCAACACGGGGAAACUCACCAGGUCCAGACACAAUAAGGAUUGACAGAUUGAGAGCUCUUUCUUGAUUUUGUGGGUGGUGGUGCAUGGCCGUUCUUAGUUGGUGGAGUGAUUUGUCUGCUUAAUUGCGAUAACGAACGAGACCUUAACCUGCUAAAUAGCCCGGCCCGCUUUGGCGGGUCGCCGGCUUCUUAGAGGGACUAUCGGCUCAAGCCGAUGGAAGUUUGAGGCAAUAACAGGUCUGUGAUGCCC